rnacentral:lncRNA from 1 species
GUCCGUCUGUUCGUUCGUCCGUACGUUCGUCCGUUCGUUCGUCCGUCUGUCCCGUUUCAGGUUAAAGUUCUUGGUCAAGGUAGUUUUUGAUGAAGCUGUAGUCCGAACAACUUGAAACUUAGUAUACAUGUUCCCUAUGGUAUGAUCUUUCUAGAUUUAAUGCCAAAUAAGAGAUUUUAACCAAAUUUCACGGUCCAUUGAACAUAGAAAAUGAUGUUGCGAGUGGGCCAUCC